rnacentral:rRNA from 1 species
AGUGAACGCUGGCGGCGUGCCUAACACAUGCAAGUCGAACGGGCUAGUGCUUCGCACUAGUCUCUUUCUGGGGUUGUUACUCUAAGGCUACCUGCUAAAGUUAUUGCUUUAAAGCAGGGGUUUUAGGAGACUUUCCCCGAAAGGGGCCAGUGCGGAGCACUGGCCAGUGGCGAACGGGUGAGUAACACGUGGGUAAUCUACCCUCGAGUGGGGAAUAAGCUUCCGAAAGGGGGUCUAAUGCCGCAUAACGUUUCAUAACGAUGGUUAUGAAACCAAAGCCCAAAAGGCGCUCGAGGAGGAGCCUGCGUCCUAUCAGCUUGUUGGCAGGGUAAUGGCCUACCAAGGCUAUGACGGGUAGCCGGCCUGAGAGGGUGUCCGGCCACACUGGAACUGAGACACGGUCCAGACUCCUACGGGAGGCAGCAGUGGGGAAUUUUGCGCAAUGGGGGAAACCCUGACGCAGCGACGCCGCGUGGAGGAUGACGGCCUCGGUUGUAACGUACCUGUCUAGAAGGACGAAGUACCGCAACGGACG